rnacentral:rRNA from 1 species
GACGGAGGGUGCUAUCGUUGUUCGGAAUUACUGGGUGUAAAGGGCGCGUAGGCAGUUUAUCAAGUUGGGCGUGAAAGCCCCGGGCUUAACCUGGGAAUUGCGUUUGAUACUGGUAGACUAGAGGACGGGAGAGGAAAGUGGAAUUCCUAGUGUAGAAGUGAAAUUCGUAGAUAUUAGGAGGAACACCAGAGGCGAAGGCGACUUUCUGGACCGAUUCUGACGCUGAGGCGCGAAAGCGUGGGGAGCAAACAGG